CAUGGACCAGUCAUAUGCUGCUGCUAGUUUGCCUAACUGCUGAGUCUUAUUCUGAGGCUUAUCUGAGCCCUCCUGGACCUCAACUGGCUGACUGGAUCAUGCUCCGACUUAAAGCCACGUCAUUCAACCAAAUAUGUACUGAAUGGAUCCAUGUGGAGUUUGGCACAUUCUGAAAUCAUCAUAGGAUUGCUCAGUAAACACUCUGCUUGCAGCUCACCCUACAGCUACCAUGCCAAUGAAGAACUGCCAAUGCUGGGUUUAAUUAACAGUAAACAUGGGUGGAGAUUACAUAGCAAAGUAAUCACCCCACCUGCUUCACCAAAUGUGAAUCAGUGAUUAACACUGAUUACGUGUUUUUCUAGAACUUUAUACAUAGCGGAUGAACUACUUUCUGAUCCAUCCCUGCCUACCUUUACUACUGAUAUAAAUGUCUUUUCUCAUCGGCUCAUCUGAUAUUGGUAGCAGAAUCCUGAGUAUAUGUGGGUGAACUUAAAAACAAGAGUCGCUGGAUUAGGCCAAAAGAUCCAUCUUCUAGUCCAAGGAUGGGGAACCUGAUGCCAUGAACCCAGGUUCAAAUCCUUCCUCGGCUUUGAAGCUCACCGAGUAGCCUUGGUCAAGUUACUGGGAUAUGGCAUGGGAAAUAACCAUGUUGCUGGCUCUGUCCUUUUGGUCCACGUCCUUGAAACAUUACUGGAGGGCCAGGAGAAAAGUCGUGCCAUUGUGGCUCCCGUACGACUGCUGAUAGCCUACUAAUCUAGUCUUUAGAUUAAUCAAAUUCUUUAGAUAGUGAUUGGAAGUGGUCUCACUAACAAAAAGGUGUCUGUGCAUGUAUUCUAUUUUUAUGUGAAUCUUCUGUGUGUAAUAUGUAUAUGUUCAUGCAUAUACACCCACACCCAUCCUCGUAGCAAAUCUGUUCAAAGAAUUUGAUUUCCCGCAUUGAACAUGCAUUGCAAAGUUCUAUUACACCACUGGCUUCCACUUUUAGAUGCAUUUUUGAACACCUUUCUAUCUUCCAGGCUUUUCUUUGUUGAACCAAAUAAAGCAUUUGCGUAUGGGUGUAACUGUUCUGUCCCUGAGGAGCAAGAGGAUCCUUGAGGGAUGCUUUUGUGUAAUAUGUUUUGUGUGGAACAGAAAUGACGUACACAUGAGAGAAGGUCAAAAUUGACCUUUAGUUGCUGGCUUAGUUCUGUACAACAGACACAGCAGGACUGCUGGUUCUCUGUUUAAAUCAGACUUCCUCCUGGGAAGUAAAAUGCUUGGUUACAAACCCCUGGGGAAUAAUUCAAAAGUGGAGCUGGACUCUUCUAAUGUUAUAAAGCCCUCAGUUAGCCUUCAUAUGAAGAGGGGGGAAAUCCUGAUUCAGUUUUGAGUGCUCUUUGUUAAGUGGAACUCCAGUUGAUUUCCUCUCGAUAUGAUAGUCUGUUCAUUACAGAGACUGUCAUCUAUACCCUCUUUUCAAUCUCUCUGGGGUAUCUGGAUGUUCGAUAACAAGAACUGAAGAGUCCCAGCAUAAGCAGCUCAAGAUUCAUUCUUUUGAUAAUGCAGCUUAAAGUUACUUUGCCCAGUUUCAAUUUCUAUUGAAAACAACACGAUGCUUCUAUUUGAUUUCUCUUUUUUAGACCGUAAAAAGUCUAGCUUCUCUUUUUCAACCAUUCUAGCUUCAGAGUGACAGUUGCCUUCAGUCUGAAGUAGCACUGAGCAUUUCCUACUAUUCAAAAGUGUUGUCACUUGGAUUGAGGCUAGCCAGCAACCUGAGUAAAUGCCACCUCUAUCAUGGAUUCAUCAUAUGACCUUGGGAAAGUCUAUGUGUGUAUGUAGUCAUCUUUGAGGCCACUAACUUUAUAUAAAGUUUGCAAUAAAUGGUUUACAAUAAGCAGUUGACAACAGCAAUAUUGCAACAGCAACAUGCCUCUGCUAAAUAGUCCAGGGUAAAAUGGUGCCUCAGUGCUGGCUGAGGCUGAGAGUAAUUGUAAUCCUAAACAUCUGGAAGGCUUCAGGUUGGGGAAGGCUAAUUUAGACCAUAUCUGGAGCUUUUAAAGUCCCAUUUGAAAACCAUUUCAAAUCAGCAGCUAUGCACAUAGAUUGUGCCACUUCAGAAUGCAGUUACUUUUUAUGAUUCCCCCCUGCCCAGAUUUUUAACUUUUGCGGGAGCUUCUAGAGAGCUUGCUUUAAAAGAUUUUUUUCCCUUAAAACAAAAGUAUUGCUUUUCAGACUACAUUCCAGGAAACUGUAGUGUUCCUUGGGAGCUUAUUAUUUAUUCCUCAAUGGAAAGAUCUGUAAUUGUAGAUAGGAUUUCCUGAAAAAGUUUGCUCAUCUCUCUUCUUAAAAGGUAUAUCCCACCUUGAGCUCCAUGGAGCUCAAAGCGGUGGUGUAAAUGAUUCUUCCCACAACUGAAUGGCGAUUUGAACCUCUCCUCCCUCCUCUUUUACUCUAAUCACUGCCCUAAUUGGCUUCCUCUACAAGCCAUAGCUUCAGGCAUGUAUUGGGUGUAUUCUAGAGUGUACUCUCAGUUCAUGCAAGGUGAUAGUUAGACUCAAAACUCCAGCUAUUCUGCUGAAUAAUAUGGGGUAAACUACACAAUUAAUGCACAUGUGUGGAAGUAAACCCUGAUGGCUCUUUUAUAAAAUGCAUAGUAAGUUUAAGAGAGUAUGAUUUUGGGUGGAGUGUGUAUGUAUGUGUGUGUAUGUACUUAAAAUCAUUUCCUUACUAGCCAUUUGUCUGAAUUAAGUAACCCCACUCCCCCAUUCCAGACAUGUUUUACUUUUAUCCAAGCAAAUAUGCAUCUGAAAUGCUAGGCAGUGACAGCAACUGUCUAGUUUAUUUGUGAUAAUACCUGCCAUUACUUGAAUAAUGUCUGUGAUCGUUCAUGGCAGAACAUGUGAAAUUACCUUAUACUGAACCACAUAAGUGAUCCAAACAGCCCAUUUUAUACUGACUGGCAGCAGUUUGAGUCAGGCUCUCAAGUAAAGUUUUUCCCCAGCACUUGCAACCUGAGAUCCUUCAGCAGUGAACGCUGACCCCUAAGUACAACCCAUUUCAAGUUUUCAGGUGGUAUCAUUCAAUGACAACAAAAAACUGCAUCAUAUCUCUUUAAAGACUUUUUGGAAAGCUUACUGGAAGAAUUUCAGAGAACUUACUGGAAAGUUGGUGCAGCUUCUGACCAUCCAAAGAGGGAAUGUGUGUCAUAAAGAUCUCCCAAAAAACUUUUAGAAUCUGGACAUAGUGUGUUUUGAAACAGAGAAUAAUCAGAAAUUCCUGAAAGUGAAAUACGAAAAAUUAAGAAUUAUUCCUGAGUAAAAUGUCCAGUCACAUUUGCUGUUAAUAUUAAAAAGCAUGUAAAGGUUAUUCAUAAGAAAUAAACUUGGAAGUUUUUGUUGUGUUGCUUGACGCAUUUGGCAACAACCAGAAGUGACUAGCAUCCGAACAAGGAAAAAAAGGAGGGCAAAAACCAAGAUGCUAGAAAAAUAAAUAUUUAUUGUGUAAUCAAACCCAACGCGUUUCAGCCUGUUGGUUUUCAGGCCUUCAUCAGGGGAAUGCAGGCUAACAAGAAGUAUCAUGAAAUGAGCAAAGGUGUCUAUAUUGUUGAAAGCGGUUUGCUCAUUUGAUGAUACUUCUCGCCAACCUGCAUUCCCCUGACAAAGGCCUGAAAACCAACAGGCUGAAAUUUGUCGGGUUUGAUUACACAAUAAAUAUUUAUUUUUCUAGCAUCUCGGUUUUUGCCCUCCUUUUUUGCUUGACGCAUUUGGCCAUAAUUACAUUUAUUCCCUUGAGUGUUCCUGCGUUGGGUUGUGGAAUAAUAAGGCCUGUAGGAUGUAGUUAUAUCUAUAAUACAGACUAGGAACACUAGUUUAUCUAAAACAUUUCUUUCUAAAUUUGAGCCAGAGUUGAAGUUCCAGGAAACAUAAUCUCAGGGGGGAAAGAAAAUUUAUAUUUUUCUUUCUUUUCAGCAUUUAAUGAGGCAAAUAAGCUUGUGUAACUACUUUUAUUGAGCAAGAAAUUACACAUUACCGCAUGUUUGAAAUUCAGAACUAUGAAAUGUUCCUUGUAGUUAUGAAUACACCCUGAAUGGUGUAUUUUACUAUCUUGCCAGAGCAGGAGCCUUCAUUUAUGGGAAAUAGAUGUAAUGGGUGGUAAAGAUUUGAAGGGAAAUUAUAUGCAUGUGGAAUAGCUUCAUUCAUAGUCUGUUUCCAUAUGACUUUGACUGGCUGUUGACCUGCAGCUUGGGAAAAACAGCUUCUGAAUUCAAUUACAAAAGAAAGUGAUAUUUCUUGGGACGAUAAAUUACUGCCAAAAACAGGAAGGGAGAAUGCAAAAUGAGAAAUUAACACGAAUGAAUUUAAGUUUUGUGAUUUUAAAUACUGCAUAAUGACCUUCACUUCUGCCUCAAUCAUCAUGUUUAUUUCUACAAUUACAUAUGAAUUUCCAGUCCUGUUUAAAAGGAUUUAUCAAAAAUUGUUUGCAGGGGCUAGUCUCGUACAUUUUGGACCCGUUUUUUCACUGGUUAAAAAAAGGAGAUGAAAUUACUUUCAUUUUAGACCAGAGAGUCAAAUCAUGGACCUUUAUGGUUUUUACAUAACUCAUCUGUGCACAGAGAACUAAUCUGUAAUUGUUGGUGAUUUUCAUAGGAUUCUGAUAGAAUAAAAAUUACAAGGAUCUGUGCCUUGAAUCCAUGUCUUUCUGCCACAGUGGCUUAGACAUGCUCUGGAUAGGUGAUCUUACAGCGCAAUCCGUAGAAAUCAAUGACUAGUGCUGGAUUUGUGAUAUUUGCAAAUAAUCAAUGGAGGCAGAUGCAUUCUGCAAUCUCAUAAUGGCUUAGGAGUAAUUUCAUGUAAAAAUCAUGCAACUUAUGUCCUCUCUUUUCCACAACCCAGAGCAGCAACUUUAUCACUGGCACCUGCAACAGUUUCUCAGAUAGAUUGGGGACCCCGUCUAUAUGUUUUUCUCAGUGAGCUAUAUUAAACUCAGUGUAGCUUACAUCUGAGUAGACAUGCAUAGUAUUGUAUUGCUAGCCCAAUGCAUAUGAACAAACCAUGACAUGAUGGCCACUUAAAGUGCUGGAAGGCUACCAAAGAGUUGUGCAUUAUAAAUUCAGUAGAUCUCUCAUUUCUCAUUUCCCCCUUCAACAUCAGCAAAGCUACUCCCAACCCCCAACUUUUACCAUUGUGCCAUUUCAGCCAUCAGUUUUCAUUGCAAAACAAAUGUUUAACUCACUUCAACUGAAAGCAAUGGAGUUACGAAUGCUUCACUCGGACUGGAUUGUGCUCUAUUUUAUUUAAAAGCUAAUUUGGACCAGUAUAAGCUAUGUUUAGUAUAGGUGUUAGAUGUUAGCCUUCAUAACAGCCAUUAGCAAGGAGAGCCAACAAUUUGGCUGCCCAUUAGCUACCAGGCUAAGUUUAAGAGUCUGGUUUUGGUGUACAAAGCCCUAUACAGCUUGGGACCAGGAAACCUGAAAUCGUCUUACCCCUAACUUUCCAACUCAUCAAAGAGUUUGUAUCUCAGAGAGGAGGUCAGGUCUCCUGCUCCCCUGGUGCAUUCACUAUAGCUGCCCAAUUUCCUGCUUUUUAAAGUUUGAUAGAAAUAUCUGUUGGCUAUAGGUACAUACCACAAGUUUUUUGCCUAUUAGUGAAUAUACCAGUAGAUCACUGCACUCUGCAGGUGAGGGCCUCCUGCAGAUAUCAUCUUAUCAGGAGAUCCAUUCUGCACAAGAUGGGAAGUGGAUCUUUAGUGUUGUGGCACCUACCCGUUGGAAUUUCCUCCCCUUAAAUAUUAGACAGUUGCCAUCUGUUAUCUUUUUGGCACCUUUUUCAACAAGCCUUUUAAGUUGAGACCUUACCCCAGUCUGCAUCUGUGUUGGAAUUGCUUUUAAAGUUAUUUUUAAAGGGUUUUUUUAAAUGUUUCUAAAGAUGUUUUGUUUUAAUAUAUUUUACAGUCUGUUUUUAUGAUGUUAUAGAGUGUUUUUAGUGUUUUUGUUUGCCGCCCUGGGCUCCUACUGGGAGGAAGGGUGGGAUAUAAAUUUAAUAAAUAAAUAAAAUAAUAAACCAA